GGGCCGAUAGUUUAGGGGUAGAGCGCCACGUUCGCAACGUGGAAGUCGAGGGUUCGAUUCCCUCUCGGUCCA
rnacentral:tRNA from 1 species